UACGUAGGGUGCAAGCGUUGUCCGGAAUUAUUGGGCGUAAAGAGCUCGUAGGCGGUUUGUCGCGUCGAAUGUGAAAACCCGGGGCUCAACCCCGGGCCUGCAUUCGAUACGGGCAGACUAGAGUUCGGUAGGGGAGUCUGGAAUUCCUGGUGUAGCGGUGAAAUGCGCAGAUAUCGGGAGGAACACCGGUGGCGAAGGCGGGUCUCUGGGCAGUAACUGACGCUGAGGAGCGAAAGCGUGGGGAGCGAACAGG
rnacentral:rRNA from 1 species